rnacentral:rRNA from 1 species
AUGAAUGAGGAAACUGUACAAUGGCGGUUUACGGGUUUUUAUGGUCAUCCGAAUUGGAGUGAACAUAAUUUGUCUUGGGAUGAUAUUCACAAUUUACAUAAUAAGGGCGAUCACCCUUGGGUUAUUUUGGAGGAUUUCAAUGAAAUUUUACUCUCCUCUGAGAAAGAGGGCGGUAACGCGAGACCAAAUGCAAUGAUGAGAGAUUUCCGUAAUUGUUUGGGAGAAUGUGGGCUGGCAGAUAUGGGUUAUAUUGGUGAUCUCUUCACCUGGAGGAGAGGCGAAGUUAGGGAAAGACUUGACCGGGCAGUUUGUAAUGUGGACUGGGCAAAUAAAUUUCCACGUGCUGCAGUCAUAAACGAAGAGCAUGUGCACUCUGACCAUCGCCCACUAGUU